rnacentral:lncRNA from 1 species
CAACAUCGACGACAACAGCAGCACCACCAGAUAUGUAACUUCCUCUCUUUGCAUUCUACACUUGCACCUGCAUCUCCUAUGAUUAGCUCAGAUAUUCUCAUCUAUUUGUCUCUAAAUCUCUGUUUUCCCCAAAUCGGCAAAUCCGAUCCAUAGCGAUGGGCGCCCAGCCGGCUGCUGGGCUACGGACUCCGGCGAAGCCAUGAUGGCGCGUCAGCGUGUUAGCACGAGGCUGCGGCUGGUGAUGGACCAACAGCCGCAUGGGGAGAAGCGCGGCGAACACGGUUCCAGUGUCGGCCUUCUGGAGGCCAUGCUUGGCAUGGCCAGCGGCAACAAGAGGCGGGGACACGAGGACCGAUUGGAACAACAUAUGGAGUGUGAAUUCAAAUGUUUAUUUACUGUAUUAUGAAUGUGUUUAACUUAGAGUUUAGAAAAUUCUGACAUUCUAGAGACAAACGAUUUUCCAUGCCAGCAAGCGACAGAUAUAUUGUUAGUAGGUUGGAGGAUGGAACGAUUUUCCUUGCUGCUAUGUGAAGCUGCUGAAGUCCUGGUGUUGUAUAUCUCAUGGAUCACUAUGGUCAGCAAGGCAAACAAGUGAAAUAGCAAAAGAUAAGUUGGGGGGAAGAAAAUAGAAAGGAAGGGGGAAAAGGUUAUAGGUUGAUGGGAGCCGUUAAUUAUUUGCACAUCUAUUUCUAUUGUGAGAAAAGAUUCUAAGAAUCAACUAGAUGAAAUGUUUAUGUGUACAGACCAUGCCAUCACCGUGACAAUCAAAAAGACACCCUUGGUGUUUCCUCUUGGCUCCUAUUAUUGGAUCUGAUUAAUUAACAAGGGCAUUAACCUGAUUUUUUUUCUGCAGAUCCUUACCCUGUAGUACAAGGCCCUCGCGAUUCUCCUUGGUGCCAUACACUACUCCACGCUGGUUGGUUGACAUAUGGUCUAUUGGUUUAAUUUGGGUAAGAUUUCAAUGAACUUAGACAUCAGUUUUCAAGUGAACUGCUUCAUAACUCAUGCCGACACAUAUAAAUAUUCUAACCUGGUGUAAAUUGCAGAUGAGUUGGUUACUAACCAGCCACUUUUCCCUGGUGACUCUGAGUUGCACCAGUUGCUUCUUGAAUUUUGUGUUUUUUAGCCAAUCUUGAUCAUUCAAUAUUUUUUGUUCUUAUAAAAAUAUAUAUCUGCUAUUGUUGUGUAUGAUUAGUUUAGAUAAGAUGAUCUUGCUUUCCUCCAACUACACGCUAACAGAUUACUGUUUAGCUUCGUCUUUAUAGUUCUCAAAUCAAAAGAGCAUCGUGGUUGAGGCUCACCUGCAAUCUUGAGCUAUCCAUGUCAAAAUUAGUUUCAAGCAACAAGAUGCACGUCUAUUCUCCAUAUAUCAAAUUAGCCAUCACAGUUUACUUCUCAUCUUUGGUGAAGGCAUAUGUGCAGCAGCCGGAGAGCGGUAAUCUAAAACUUGCACAACUGGAGCAGGAACUCCAGAAACUUGCUAUUUCACUUGCACACUCUUUGAUAUUACUUUGAGGAAAUUUGUUUGUUUUAUUGGUUAGUUUAAAAGCUGAUGUUCUGUGCCAGAAGUUGGAUCCUCUUCAGAAAAAUUUGAUGCCACAAUGCAUGAUCCGAGCAUGUCCAAGCCACGGGACACUUAGGAGCUGCAUAUAAUGUGGGCUCUGUAUAUAAGUUAUUGAUUUUAUUAAUUUAUCCUUCAGUGAGGUGUACAUUUCGGUCGUGAUCCUUGCAUGUAAAGUUUGCUUCAUAUGGCAUUUUGAUGCAGAUUUAGAGACAUUUUUUAUAGUUUGCCUACUUAAAUGAUAGUUUAAUAUUUGUUGGUUAUUUCUCAUUUGUUACAAUGAUAAAGUAUUUUAUCUCUUGCCUACUUAGUUUCUAUCGGUUCUCUCUUUUAGGUAACCUAAAUUUGGACAAAGGACGCUAGGAUUGGAAGUUCUAUGUAAUUCAAGCUGGGAUUCAAAGUUCUAUAUAAGUGGGA